CUUUAAUUGUUAAAUAACUUUACCUAAAUAUAACCCUGAUAAUUACAGGUUGUUUGUUGAUAAUAACUAAGUAAUAUAGAGAAGUCAGAGUUUCACCCCUGAACGUGAAAUGAAGAGGAGCAGCUGAUGGGGGAGAGAUGGAGGGGAGAGAUGGAGGCAGGGGGAGAGAUGGAGGGGGAGAGAUGGAGACACAGAGGGAGAAAGGGAGGAACUACUUUCUGCCUCCGCUGCCAGCUGACUGCAAACUACAAGUUCCCAGCGAGUUGUGGGUGUCCGGGCGCUGCCGUCAGCAAAGUGUCGGUUGAAGUAAACAAAAUGGAGGACUAGCUUAAUGCUAAAGUGGGAGACGUGAAUAAAGAGCUCCAUGGCGACGUUCAAAGAACCGUAAUGCGCCCCCACCCCUCCGCCUCUGUCCAUGGUGCUACCGUUACUACCCUCUGAUCCGCCCGGCACAAUGUCGACUUGUGUCUUCGCUCACAACAAAGAACACGCACACACAUUGCCGCCAUUUUGUUCACGUUGUAGUAAUUUGUGCGGUAAAAGUGAGGAGAAGUUGUUCGAGUUGACGACACAUUCAAUCACCAGCUGCCAUCUCUGCUCGCUCAUCAACUUUCCGAUCACAUCCUCCUCCCCCUCCUCCCGACGCCGGGCUCCCGUUGGUUCCCCGCGCUGCCCCUCAAUCAUCGCAGCUCUUGAUUGGCUCGGCUGGGACCAAUAGCGGCACGCCUGUGGGUAAAGGGGCGGGAGGAGGAGGCGGGGGUCAGAGUGACAGACAGGGCGAAAGAGGCUGGAUAUCUGGGAAGAAAACGG
ensembl:lncRNA